AUACUGGUGAAGAGUCCCAAACUAGGACGAAACAGCUGUCCAGUAC
rnacentral:hammerhead_ribozyme from 1 species